rnacentral:rRNA from 1 species
AUUGAACGCUGGCGGCAGGCUUAACACAUGCAAGUCGAGCGGAGACUUCGGUCUUAGCGGCGAACGGGUGAGUAAUACCUAGGAAUCUGCCUAUUAGUGGGGAUACGAAUCGAAAGGUUCGCUAAUACCGCAUACGUCCUACGGGANAAAGGGGGGAUCUUCGGACCUCUCGCUAAUAGAUGAGCCUAGGCCGGAUUAGCUAGUUGGUAGGUAAAGGCCUACCAAGGCGACGAUCUGUAGCUGGUCUGAGAGGAUGGCCAGCCACACUGGAACUGAGACAGGUCCAGACUCACGGAGGCAGCAGUGGGAANAUUGGACAAUGGGGGCAACCCUGAUCCAGCCAUGCCGCG